GAUGAACGCUGGCGGCGUGCCUAAUACAUGCAAGUCGAGCGAACGGACGAGAAGCUUGCUUCUCUGAUGUUAGCGGCGGACGGGUGAGUAACACGUGGAUAACCUACCUAUAAGACUGGGAUAACUUCGGGAAACCGGAGCUAAUACCGGAUAAUAUUUUGAACCGCAUGGUUCAAAAGUAAAAGACGGUCUUGCUGUCACUUAUAGAUGGAUCCGCGCUGCAUUAGCUAGUUGGUAAGGUAACGGCUUACCAAGGCAACGAUGCAUAGCCGACCUGAGAGGGUGAUCGGCCACACUGGAACUGAGACACGGUCCAGACUCCUACGGGAGGCAGCAGUAGGGAAUCUUCCGCAAUGGGCGAAAGCCUGACGGAGCAACGCCGCGUGAGUGAUGAAGGUCUUCGGAUCGUAAAACUCUGUUAUUAGGGAAGAAUAUAUGUGUAAGUAACUGUGCACAUCUUGACGGUACCUAAUCAGAAAGCCACGGCUAACUACGUGCCAGCAGCCGCGGUAAUACGUAGGUGGCAAGCGUUAUCCGGAAUUAUUGGGCGUAAAGCGCGCGUAGGCGGUUUUUUAGUCUGAUGUGAAAGCCCACGGCUCAACCGUGGAAGGUCAUUGGAAACUGGAAAACUUGAGUGCAGAAGAGGAAAGUGGAAUUCCAUGUGUAGCGGUGAAAUGCGCAGAGAUAUGGAGGAACACCAGUGGCGAAGGCGACUUUCUGGUCUGUAACUGACGCUGAUGUGCGAAAGCGUGGGGAUCAAACAGGAUUAGAUACCCUGGUAGUCCACGCCGUAAACGAUGAGUGCUAAGUGUUAGGGGGUUUCCGCCCCUUAGUGCUGCAGCUAACGCAUUAAGCACUCCGCCUGGGGAGUACGACCGCAAGGUUGAAACUCAAAGGAAUUGACGGGGACCCGCACAAGCGGUGGAGCAUGUGGUUUAAUUCGAAGCAACGCGAAGAACCUUACCAAAUCUUGACAUCCUUUGACAACUCUAGAGAUAGAGCCUUCCCCUUCGGGGGACAAAGUGACAGGUGGUGCAUGGUUGUCGUCAGCUCGUGUCGUGAGAUGUUGGGUUAAGUCCCGCAACGAGCGCAACCCUUAAGCUUAGUUGCCAUCAUUAAGUUGGGCACUCUAAGUUGACUGCCGGUGACAAACCGGAGGAAGGUGGGGAUGACGUCAAAUCAUCAUGCCCCUUAUGAUUUGGGCUACACACGUGCUACAAUGGACAAUACAAAGGGCAGCGAAACCGCGAGGUCAAGCAAAUCCCAUAAAGUUGUUCUCAGUUCGGAUUGUAGUCUGCAACUCGACUACAUGAAGCUGGAAUCGCUAGUAAUCGUAGAUCAGCAUGCUACGGUGAAUACGUUCCCGGGUCU
rnacentral:rRNA from 1 species